CAGAUGCUAAUACCGGAUAACAACAGAUGAUGCCUAUCAACUGUUUAAAAGAUGGUUCUGCUAUCACUCUUGGAUGGACCUGCGGUGCAUUAGCUAGUUGGUAGGGUAACGGCCUACCAAGGCGAUGAUGCAUAGCCGAGUUGAGAGACUGAUCGGCCACAUUGGGACUGAGACACGGCCCAAACUCCUACGGGAGGCAGCAGCU
rnacentral:rRNA from 1 species